CGCUUGGGUCUCCUUCCACACUGUGGAAGCUUUGUUCUUUCGCUCUUCACAAUAAAUCUUGCUGCUGCUCACUCUUUGGGUCCACAUCAUCUUUAAGAGCUGUAACACUCACCACGAAGGUCCGUGGCUUCAUUCUUGAAGUCAGGAAGACCAAGAACCCACCAAAAGGAACCAACUCCAGACAUCUUGGUGACCACGAAGGGACUAUCGCCAAGCGGGUCUCACUCUGUCACCCAGCUGGAGUGCCGUGGCAUGAUCAUGGCUCUCACUGCAACCUCCACCUCCCAGGCUCAAGUGAUCCUCACACCUCAACCU
rnacentral:lncRNA from 10 species